rnacentral:rRNA from 1 species
CCUACGGGCGGCAGCAGUGAGGAAUAUUGGUCAAUGGACGAGAGUCUGAACCAGCCAAGUAGCGUGAAGGAUGACUGCCCUAUGGGUUGUAAACUUCUUUUAUAAAGGAAUAAAACGAGGCACGUGUGCCUUUUUGCAUGUACUUUAUGAAUAAGGAUCGGCUAACUCCGUGCCAGCCGCCGCGGUAAUAUGGAGGAUCCGAGCGUUAUCCGGAUUUAUUGGGUUUAAAGGGAGCGUAGAUGGGUUGUUAAGUCAGUUGUGAAAGUGUGCGGCUCAACCGUAAAAUUGCAAUUGAUACUGGCAGUCUUGAGUACAGUUGAGGUAGGCGGAAUUCGUGGUGUAGCGGUGAAAUGCUUAGAUAUCACGAAGAACCCCGAUUGCGAAGGCAGCUUACUAAACUGUGACUGACAUUGAUGCUCGAAAGUGUGGGUAUCAAACAGGAUUAGAUACCCGAGUAGUC